rnacentral:lncRNA from 1 species
GGACUCGGGGGCUCGUGGUGGGGCGGGGAUGGGGAUGCUGCCUCGCCCACCCCGCGGCGGACUUCAGUAAAUUCCGUUAGAAUCAGAAGAGAACGAACUUUUACGUAGAAGAAAAUGUCUUAAUUUUUGAAGCACGAUUGCCGUGCAAUAAACCACACAUACUUGAAGUGUGCAACUUGAUGAGUUUGGCACAUAUGUGAAGUUUGACAUAUGCAGUCACGCGCCACAUAGGGACACUUUGGUCAACGACGGACCACGUACAGGACAGUGGUCCCAUAAGGUGCAGGCCCAUGCUGGGGGCUGGGAAGACAGGCCCAUCCUCAGGCCCUUGUUGGCCUGAGUCGCUCUGCCCACAUCAUCUCAAACACAAAUGGACCCUCAUCAAUUGAAAGUUUUUUCUAAAAAAAAAAAAUUCUGAAUGGAUUUUUGUAGUUUUGAGACAGGAACCAUCGGUAAGGCCCUGGGCCUAACAAGAUAAGGUCCCUAACCAAUCAGGAAGCUAGGAGAAUCAGAUCGAGGCCCCCAAGAUCCACAUCCCACAGCCUCCGGACUUCCCUCAGGACUCCCCCCCCCCCCCCCCCCCCCCGCCCGCUUACACUCGGCCCUAGCACCUAGGAGUCCACUGAAGGUGACCCCCGCCGCAUUAGCAUAGUAAAAAUCACACCCAGGGUGGAGAGCUAGCGUGUUAAUGAUACGACGCAUGUACACCUCUGCAUGCCGUGACGAGGGCCUCCUCCCUAACCUUCGCCUAAUAAAAGCCCCACAGUCCGCUCCCUCAUGAGCCAGUCACCUGCCCCUUUCUUUUCCACCCCGGCUCCCCUGUGCCUCCCCUGUGCACAAGCUGAUCAACUUUUACUUUCUACUCCCCGCUUUGUUGUCGCUCUUGAUUUCUACCCUGGGGGACAAUAAGAACCCAAUAUGCCAGUAACAUCCUUGCCCUUGAAUUCCUUGGCUACCUGACUCUGCUUGGAUGACCUCGGAGAGGAUACCUAACUUCUCUGUGCCUCACUGGCUCAUCUGUAAAAGAGGGAUAACGGUGUUCCUAAGUCGCAGAAGUCAGCGUCGGCCUUUACAAAGUCAUAAAACGACGACCAGCCCAGAGUCAGUCCCACAUACAUUUGCUAAUUAAGAUAAAAUACCAGGAACCUGUACUUUCUGACUUCUUAUCUACUACCCAGCGUUCUCAGAAUUCUUGCUCCGUGAGAAAGUCUAACCCACAGAGUUCUCAAACGGACUGAAACUUUUACAAAUUCCAAAUAAAAAAUAAAGAUGACAUAAUGUUA